rnacentral:rRNA from 1 species
UACGUAGGUGGCAAGCGUUGUCCGGAAUUAUUGGGCGUAAAGCGCGCGCAGGCGGUCCUUUAAGUCUGAUGUGAAAGCCCACGGCUCAACCGUGGAGGGUCAUUGGAAACUGGGGGACUUGAGUACAGAAGAGAAGAGUGGAAUUCCACGUGUAGCGGUGAAAUGCGUAGAGAUGUGGAGGAACACCAGUGGCGAAUGCGACUCUUUGGUCUGUAACUGACGCUGAGGCGCGAAAGCGUGGGGAGCAAACAGG